GCCUAAAGCGUCCGUAGCCGGCUCUGUAAGUUUUCGGUUAAAUCUAUAUGCUCAACAUAUAGGCUGCCGGAAAUACUGCACAGCUAGGGGGUGGGAGAGGUAGACGGUACUCGGUAGGAAGGGGUAAAAUCCUUUGAUCUAUCGAUGACCACCUGUGGCGAAGGCGGUCUACUAGAACACGUUCGACGGUGAGGGAUGAAAGCUGGGGGAGCAAACCGGAUUAGAUACCCGGGUAGUCCCAGCUGUAAACUAUGCAAACUCAGUGAUGCACUGGCUUGUGGCCAGUGCAGUGCCGCAGGGAAGCCGUUAAGUUUGCCGCCUGGGAAGUACGUACGCAAGUAUGAAACUUAAAGGAAUUGGCGGGGGAGCACCACAAGGGGUGAAGCCUGCGGUUCAAUUGGAGUCAACGCCAGAAAUCUUACCCGGAGAGACAGCAGGAUGAAGGUCAAGCUGAAGACUUUACCAGACAAGCUGAGAGGUGGUGCAUGGCCGUCGUCAGCUCGUGCCGUGAGAUGUCCUGUUAAGUCAGGUAACGAGCGAGAUCCUUGCCUCUAGUUGCCACCAUUACUCUCAGGAGUAGUGGGGCGAAUUAGCGGGACCGCCGUAGUUAAUACGGAGGAAGGAAAGGGCCACGGCAGGUCAGUAUGCCCCGAA
rnacentral:rRNA from 1 species